rnacentral:rRNA from 1 species
GAUGAACGCUGGCGGCGUGCCUAAUACAUGCAAGUCGAGCGAACGGACGAGGAGCUUGCUCCUCUAACGUUAGCGGCGGACGGGUGAGUAACACGUGGAUAACCUACCUAUAAGACUGGGAUAACUUCGGGAAACCGGAGCUAAUACCGGAUAAUAUAUUGAACCGCAUGGUUCAAUAGUGAAAGACGGUUUUGCUGUCACUUAUAGAUGGAUCCGCGCCGCAUUAGCUAGUUGGUAAGGUAACGGCUUACCAAGGCAACGAUGCGUAGCCGACCUGAGAGGGUGAUCGGCCACACUGGAACUGAGACACGGUCCAGACUCCUACGGGAGGCAGCAGUAGGGAAUCUUCCGCAAUGGGCGAAAGCCUGACGGAGCAACGCCGCGUGAGUGAUGAAGGUCUUCGGAUCGUAAAACUCUGUUAUUAGGGAAGAACAAAUGUGUAAGUAACUAUGCACGUCUUGACGGUACCUAAUCAGAAAGCCACGGCUAACUACGUG